rnacentral:pre_miRNA from 1 species
UACCGAGGUUUUCCUCGGCAGUUAACUGCAUCCGGUUUUUGAAUUCUUCGGCAGUUAACUGCCGAUAGAACAA